CUAUCAUAUGCGCAGAUGGGGAGCCAUCUCAGCAAUAAUUGCAACCGCAAUGACAUGGAAGCUCUCAAGGCUGCAGGGGAUGGCAGAGCAGAAUCAGCAGCUCCUGCUAUCCGUCUGUUCAUUCCAGGACUACCACUUCUCAUAACUUUGCGGUUGCUACCCUUAUUUGCAGGACCUUCCAGCCCAGAAGAACUUGAUCCUGCCUGCUUGCUUGCACCGCGAGUAACUGUAUUUAUAUGUUGCUCAAUAUUAUUCAAUUGCUUAAUCAAAUCGCUUGCAAAUGUAUUGCGUGACUCAUCAGAACC
rnacentral:misc_RNA from 1 species